UGACCGAGCGACACCGCGUGAGCGACGAAGGCCUUCGGGUCGUAAAGCUCUUUUAUUUGGGAAGAAUGCAUAGUAAUAUGUUUGACGGUACCAUUUGAAUAAGCCCCAGCUAACUACGUGCCAGCAGCUGCGGUAAUACGUAGGGGGCAAGCGUUAUCCGGAAUCACUGGGCGUAAAGGGUCCGCAGGUGUCCCGUUAAGUUAGAUGUUAAAUCGCAAGGCUCAACCUUGCGGCUGCAUCUAAUACUGACAGGAUAGAGGAUAGGUGACGGAAGUGGAAUUCCUGGUGGAGAGGUAAAAUCCGUAGAUAUCAGGAGGAACACCCAUGGCGUAGGCGGCUUCCGAACCUAUUCCUGACACUCAGGGACGAAAGCUAGGGGAGCAAACAGGAUUAGAUACCCUGGUAGUCCUAGCUGUAAACGAUGAAUACUAGAUAGUGGGUGCUACACCGUACUCACCGUCGUAGCUAACGCGUUAAGUAUUUCGCCUGGGAACUACGAUCGCAAGUUUGAAACUCAAAGGAAUUGACGGGUCCCCGCACAAGCAGCGAGGCAUGUGGCUUAAUUCGAUGCAACACGAAGAACCUUACCUGGACUUGACAUGUUUCUGAAAGGCCGGAGAAACCCGGUCCCUUCCAGUUUACUGGAACAGUUUCACAGGUGGUGCAUGGUUGUCGUCAGCUCGUGUCGUGAGAUGUAAGGUUAAGUCCUUAAACGAGCGUAACCUUUGUCAUUAGUUGCCACCGGUUCGGCCGAGCACUCUAAUGAGACCGCUAGCGACAAGCUAGAGGAAGAUGGAGAUGACGUCAAAUCCUCACGUCCCUUAUGUCCAGGGCCGCACACAUGCGACAAUGGUAGAGACAGCGGGUUGCGACGGGGUAACCCUGAGCUAAUCCAUAAACUCUGCCUCAGUACAGAUCGAGGGCUGAAAUUCGACCUCGUGAAGAUGGAGUUGCUAGUAAACGCAGGUCAGCUAUACUGCGUUGAAUACGUUCCCNGGGGAUUGUACACACCGCCCGUCACACCACCCGAGUCGUGUGCACCCGAAGUCGGAUACCCUAACCUUUGGAAGGGCCUGCCGAAGGUGUGCUCGGUAAGGAGGGUGA
rnacentral:rRNA from 1 species